GAUUCGACUCUCUAGGUUGUGUCCCUUUUCAUAUCCUCACACUGUCAUUAAAAAUAAAUUGAGGUAAUUUUUGAACGACUUUUUCAGAGGCUGCCAGGCAUCCUGCUAAUGAGGAAAUUUUCAAUAAUGACAUGGAUCACUCGAUGAUGGACGGACACAAUCCACUGUCCCCGCCUUUUCCAACACCACCACCAACCCCUUUGCCUUUGGACCUUCCCAUGAACGAUUCGCCUAAAAGUUUGAAAGAUACUCAAGAAGAAACUGAGGAAUAACAAGAGUGUCGGCAGAAAAUACCAAAAAAUCCAGAGCAAGAAAACUUUUUGUCUCUAGAUAAUGUCAUAGCAAAAGCGUGGGAACCCAUCCCUUUGGACAAAGGCAAUCCGAAUCGGCCUUUGGUAAAACGAAGAGUAUACAAGUUGGAUACAAGUGAUUCGUCUAGUUUGAGAAAAAAGAAGAAUAGAGGAAAUACAGAUACAAAGUCAAAAACGUUUAUUGUGUCAGAAAUGUUCACAAAGGGUAAAUACUUUUUAACAAAGGCCAUGGGUUUGAUUCAUGGAUUCUAGCGGAAUUCCACGCGGUACAGAUGAAAAGACUGAAAGACGCUCCCAACAGGAAGAGAAAAAUAUUAGGUAAGUGAAACCAUCUCUGAAAAUAAGAGUUUUAAUUAUCUGCAGGAAAAGCAAAAUAGUGACAUUUGUCCACAAGAAUUCAAAAUUGAGGUGCUGUUUACAAAAAGGGUCUUUGGUGCCGAGGACCCCUUAUGUGGAAAACAGAGCAACUGAUUCUCAUGAUUGAUUGUAGGAAAUUUCAAAACUAAUAAUCCUCAAAAACAGAAGCAAAAAAGAAAACAUGGUCUGGCCGAAAAUCUUGGUUGGAUCUCAUUUGAAUAAUGGAAUCCAAAACUAGGUAAUUGUACUCAAUUUUUACUCAUGCUCCAAUCCUUAUUUGUUAGAUGUUACAGUAGUCUUUCUUUUCUUUCUGAUAGAUUUAGAAAAAUCACGUUAAUUUGUUUGUCCGGAGUGUCUGCAAGAAUUGAUCGAAUAUGAUUCGGAAGUUAGUGUAGCGAGUUCAUUGAAAAGUCAUUGAAAACCUGAAAAAUUCGGGGAAUUUUGCUGUGGACUCUUGAUUUCUUUCUUUUGAUAGGAACAUUAAAUUAUUCUCUAUCACAACCACAAGCUCCAUUGCGGAAAUUAGAACUUUGGCCCUUAAGUUCCUGAAUUUUGAAUUUUUUCAAUGUUCGAAAACUUAGCGAGGGGUCAUUCCAUAUAGAACCUACCAGCCAUGCAACCGCCCGACUCGGAUUUUGAUGAUAAAUU
rnacentral:lncRNA from 1 species